GACGAACGCUGGCGGCGUGCUUAACACAUGCAAGUCGAACGGAAAGGCCCUGCAUCUGUGGGGUGGUCGCAUGGCGAACGGGUGAGUAAUACGAGAGUAACCUGCAAUUGACUUUGGGCUUACUUCUGGCAAAUGGGGAUCAUAGCGGAAAGGAGCUCCUGCUGCUAGGAGGGGGUUGGAAAGUUUCGGCGGUUGGGGAAGGACUCGCGGCUUAUCAGCUUGUUGGCGUGGUAGUGGCUAACCAGGGCUUUGACGGGUCGCCGGCCUGAGGGGGGGACCGGCCACAUUGGGACUGAGAUGCGGCCCAGACUACUACGGGAGGCAGCAGUGGAGAAUAGUGCACAAUGGGCGGAAGCCUGAUGCAGCAACGCCGCGUGCGGGAUGACAGCCUUCAGGUUGUAAACCGCAUUCGCCUGUGACGAAGCGUAAGUGACGGUAAUGUGUAAAGAAGCACCGGCUAACUACGUG
rnacentral:rRNA from 1 species